AGAGUUUGAUCAUGGCUCAGGACGAACGCUGGCGGCGUGCUUAAUACAUGCAAGUCGAACGGGGUCCAACCGGUGGCAACACCGGUGAAGACCUAGUGGCGAACGGGUGAGUAGCACGUGAGCAACCUGCCCCGAAGACUGGGAUAACACCGGGAAACCGGUGCUAAUACCGGAUGUCCCCAUCAGACCGCAUGAUCUGAUGAGGAAAGGAUUUCUGCUUCGGGAGGGGCUCGCGGCCUAUCAGCUUGAUGGUGAGGUAAUGGCUCACCAUGGCGACGACGGGUAGCUGGUCUGAGAGGACGAUCAGCCACACUGGGACUGAGACACGGCCCAGACUCCUACGGGAGGCAGCAGUAGGGAAUCUUGCGCAAUGGGCGAAAGCCUGACGCAGCAACGCCGCGUGAGGGACGAAGGCUUUCUGAGUUGUAAACCUCUUUCAGCAGGGACGAUUGUGACGGUACCUGCAGAAGAAGCACCGGCCAACUACGUGCCAGCAGCCGCGGUGAUACGUAGGGUGCGAGCGUUGUCCGGAUUUAUUGGGCGUAAAGAGCUCGUAGGCGGUUCGAUAAGUCGGGUGUGAAAUCUCCAGGCUCAACCUGGAGUCGCCACUCGAUACUGUCGUGACUAGAGUCCGGUAGGGGACCAUGGAAUUCCUGGUGUAGCGGUGAAAUGCGCAGAUAUCAGGAGGAACACCAGUAGCGAAGGCGGUGGUCUGGGCCGGCACUGACGCUGAGGAGCGAAAGCGUGGGGAGCGAACAGGAUUAGAUACCCCCGUAGUCC
rnacentral:rRNA from 1 species